GUGCCAAGCAGCCGCGGUAAUUCCAGCUCCAAUAGCGUAUAUUAAAGUUGUUGUGGUUAAAAAGCUCGUAGUUGGAUCUCGGCGGUCUGAGGGCGGUUCGCUUCAGAGCGCUACUGCCCUAUAGACCGUAGUUUUGCCAGAGGUCUCAGGGUGCUCUUAACCGAGUGUCUUGCGAUGCUGGCAGGUUUACUUUGAAAAAAUUAGAGUGCUCAAAGCAGGCUUUUACGCCUGAAUAUUCGUGCAUGGAAUAAUAGAAUAGGAAGUCGUUUCUAUUUUGUUGGUUUUCGGAAAUCGACUUAAUGAUUAAUAGGGACAGUCGGGGGCAUUUGUAUUCAAACGACAGAGGUGAAAUUCUUGGACCGUUUGAAGACAAACUACUGCGAAAGCAUUUGCCAAGAAUGUUUUCAUUAAUCAAGAACGAAAGUUAGAGGUUCGAAGGCGAUUAGAUACCGCCCUAGUUCUAACCAUAAACGAUGCCAGCUAGCGAUCUGCCGACGUUUUUUUUGUAGACUCGGCAGGAAGCUUCCGGGAAACCAAAGCAUUUGGGUUCCAGGGGAAGUAUGGUUGCAAAGCUGAAACUUAAAGGAAUUGACGGAAGGGCACCACCAGGAGUGGAGCCUGUGGCUUAAUUUGACUCAACACGGGAAAUCUCACCAGGCCCGGACACUGGAAGGAUUGACAGAUUGAUAGCUCUUUCUUGAUUCGGUGGGUGGUGGUGCAUGGCCGUUCUUAGUUGGUGGAGUGAUUUGUCUGGUUAAUUCCGAUAACGAACGAGACUCUGUCCUGCUAAAUAGUGUCCGCCUCUCUUUUGGGCGGACAAUUUUUCUUAGAGGGACUGGCGACUUUUAGUCGCACGAGAUUGAGCAAUAACAGGUCUGUGAUGCCC
rnacentral:rRNA from 1 species